CCCUUAGAGUUUGAUCCUGGCUCAGGACGAACGCUGGCGGCGCGCCUAACACAUGCAAGUCGAACGAGCGAGAGAGAGCUUGCUUUCUCAAGCGAGUGGCGAACGGGUGAGUAACGCGUGAGGAACCUGCCUCAAAGAGGGGGACAACAGUUGGAAACGACUGCUAAUACCGCAUAAGCCCACGACCCGGCAUCGGGUAGAGGGAAAAGGAGCAAUCCGCUUUGAGAUGGCCUCGCGUCCGAUUAGCUAGUUGGUGAGGUAAUGGCCCACCAAGGCGACGAUCGGUAGCCGGACUGAGAGGUUGAACGGCCACAUUGGGACUGAGACACGGCCCAGACUCCUACGGGAGGCAGCAGUGGGGAAUAUUGCACAAUGGGGGAAACCCUGAUGCAGCGACGCCGCGUGGAGGAAGAAGGUCUUCGGAUUGUAAACUCCUGUUGUUGAGGAAGAUAAUGACGGUACUCAACAAGGAAGUGACGGCUACUCUG
rnacentral:rRNA from 1 species